UACGUAGGGUGCGAGCGUUAAUCGGAAUUACUGGGCGUAAAGUGUGCGCAGGCGGCCCCGCAAGUCGAGUGUGAAAUCCCCGAGCUUAACUUGGGAAUGGCGCUCGAAACUACGGGGCUCGAGUGUGGCAGAGGGAGGUGGAAUUCCACGUGUAGCGGUGAAAUGCGUAGAGAUGUGGAGGAACACCAAUGGCGAAGGCAGCCUCCUGGGUCAACACUGACGCUCAUGCACGAAAGCGUGGGGAGCAAACAGG
rnacentral:rRNA from 1 species